rnacentral:rRNA from 1 species
AUUGAACGCUGGCGGCAUGCCUUACACAUGCAAGUCGAACGGCAGCACGGGAGCAAUCCUGGUGGCGAGUGGCGAACGGGUGAGUAAAGUAUCGGAACGUGCCCAGUCGUGGGGGAUAACGUAGCGAAAGUUACGCUAAUACCGCAUACGAUCUAUGGAUGAAAGCGGGGGAUCGCAAGACCUCGCGCGAUUGGAGCGGCCGAUACCAGAUUAGGUAGUUGGUGGGGUAAGGGCUCCCCAAGCCGACGAUCUGUAGCUGGUCUGAGAGGACGACCAGCCACACUGGGACUGAGACACGGCCCAGACUCCUACGGGAGGCAGCGGUGGGGAAUUUUGAACAAUGGGCGAAAGCCUGAUCCAGCCAUGCCGCGUGCAGGAUGAAGGCCUUCGGGUUGUAAACUGCUUUUGUACGGAACGAAAAGGUUUGGGCUAAUAAGCUGAGCUCAUGACGGUACCGUAAGAAUAAGCACCGGCUAACUACGUGCCAGCCGCCGCAGUAA